AAACAACCCCAUAUGUUUUGAUUAUUUGGCAGUUUUGGACCCCCAAGGCAAAAAAAAAAAAAAAAAUUUGACACUUUUUUUGCCUUGGGGGUUCAAAACUACCAAAGAAUCAAAACAUAGGGGGCUGUUU
rnacentral:pre_miRNA from 1 species